UGGGACGGAUGGUCGCUGGCGGCCCGCGGGCCGCUAGAGGAAAGUCCAGACUCGGCUGCCGGCUCCGCCGGCAGAAAGUUGGUGCCAGUCGCAAGGCUGGGCGUCGCAAGACGACGGACGCGAACCCGGCCCUCGUGGUCGGCAGUAGCUAUAAAAGGGCCAUAGAGACGAGCCGCGCCGGCGACGGCGCGGGUGGAACGCUGGCAACCCCCACCACCGAGCAACCCCAAAUAGGCCCCUUUGAGGGCGGGUAGGGGGCAGUCGUCCGCAAAGGACGACCGUUCGGGCGCCCGCAGCGGGCGUUCCGGGCGAGAUAGAUGACCAUCGGAAACAGAAUCUGGCUUACGGUC
rnacentral:RNase_P_RNA from 1 species